AUGAACUUCCCCAAUGGCAAGAACUUGAAAGGUGCCUUCUUUGGGAACUACAAACCACACACCAACCUCCAAGACGUCGUCAAGAUGUAUAUGAGGAAGGAGCCGGAGCUGGAGAAGUUCAUCACGCACGUUGGACCUUUCUAA
rnacentral:rRNA from 1 species